rnacentral:lncRNA from 1 species
CGGGAGAAUUUUCUUCUCCUUUUGCAUGACAUUUGUGGAAGAAGGGAGGGGGGACCUUCCCAUGCACGGGACAAACGGCAUAGGCAACUGGCCGAGGGCAGGGCUGCGGGGAAGCCAUGCUGGCUGACGGGAGGAAUAGGAGAGUGGGUAUAGCUGCAGAGAGAAAAAAGUGAGAGGGAGAGAGUUCUGGGGAGUUGGAGGGGAACGCACUCUGGAGGGGGCGGACGAGGAAAGAGGGAGCUAAGACCAUCUUCACCCUGAAAGUUCAGGUCUGGCCAUUUUCUUAAAUCCCAUUUUCAUUACGUUGUUCUUUCUUUUUUGUUGUUUUGCUUAGAUUGCACUUGAUUUCCCGGCAUGAACUGCCGAAGGGGGAAGGCAUGGAGGGACCACAAGAUGGUUUUAACCUCUAGGAAGUCAUGAGGGUGCUUUAACACACCCAUUCCUUCCCCUUGCUUGGUUAGCUGAUAUCUAGUUGGCUCUAUCCUCUUUCAAACCCCAUGCAUGGCUACCCCUGUAACCCCUCAAGCUCCUCUCCUUCUGUAAUGGCCGAAGGUUCACCUGGCGCCACCUGCAUGCCUUCUCCGCCGCCGUUGAAGCCAAAGGUUGCAUCUCCGCUCCUCUGCGUCCUCCUAGACAACCCCCGCGAUCGUCACCCUGCCCAUCAAGUCGCCCGCUGCCGGUCGUGGAGUCCCCCACCAUUCUCCUCAUCCAAGCCCAGCUUGGCCUCAUCGGACCUGUUCGCUGUGCUGUUGGCCCUGCGCCAGGCGUGACGCAACCCCGGAUCUCGUGCCCGUCGGCGCCCCAGUCACCUACACCGCCCACGGCUCAUCCGGCCGUGCUGAGAAUUCAGCCAUUGACGCCGCCCUCUCAUCAUGAUGAGAGACCCGCCACCCCCACCGCUCUGUCAUUCCCGCCUUCUACAUCGGCGGCGCUCGUGCCAGGGACCUGGCGAGCCCUGUAACCUCCCACUUCGACAGCCGCCCAGCUUUUCGUCCCGCCGGCAACAGGAAGCUCCGUCCGAGGGUGAUGCCCAGGCGAGGGGGGGGGGGAAUAAGUUUGUGAGGGGAAUGGGUGUUUUGGGCUUGCUCAUGACGGCAUUGGAUUUGGGCUUGGGUUGGAGCACCAGGCCCAAGUUUGUGAUGAAGAUGGUUGCCUUGGGCUUGCCCAUGGCAAGGAUAUUGGGCUUGAGCAGGAGCCCAGGCCCAAGGAUGUUGAUGGACUCCCCAUGCCAGCCACCCUCGUGGCCCAAGUCCAUGUUGAGCUAGCUCAUUUGGCUGCCUCAAUUCUAAAAAAAUCUCUAUACCUCUAAUCGAUAAAUUUACUACAUUCUAAACUUUACAUUUUAUUUUCAAAACUUAGGUCCUUAAGUAAUUUUUCAAAAAUCUCAUGUCUUAAUUUAAUUUUUCAAUAAUUCGUUUAAAUCUUAUUUUCAUCAAUUAGAAUUAUCAUCCCAUAUUUAUCUAGUUAUUUAAAGUCUAAUCCUUCAAAAAUCCCAUAUCUUAAUUUAUUUUUUCAACCCUAAAAAUUCUACAAUUCGUUUAAAUCUUAUUUUCAUCAAUUAGAAUUAUUAUCUCAUAUUCAUCUAUUUAUUUAAAGUCUAAUCCUUCCAAAAUUUCAUGUCUUAAUUUAAUUUUUUCCAUCCUAAAAAUUCUAAUCUUAUUUUCAUCAAUUAUAAUUAUUAUCUCAUAUUUAUCUAGUUAUUUAAAGUCUAAUCCUUCAAAAAUCCCAUAUCUUAAUUUAAUUUUUCAAUAAUUCUUUUAAAUCUUAUUUUCAUCAAUUAGAAUUAUUAUCUCAUAUUCAUCUAUUUAUUUAAAGUCUAAUCCUUCAAAAAUCUCAUGUCUUAAUUUAAUUUUUUUUCAUCCUAAAAAUUCUACAAUUCGUUUAAAUCUUAUUUUCAUCAAUUAUAAUUAUUAUCUCAUAUUUAUCUAGUUAUUUAAAGUCUAAUCCUUCAAAAAUCUCAUGUCUUAAUUUAAUUUUUUAAUAAUUCGUUUAAAUCUUAUUUUCAUCCAUUAGAAUUAUUAUCACAUAUUUAUCUAGUUAUUUAAAGUCUAAUCCUUCAAAAAAUCUCAUGUCUCAAUUUAAUUUUUCAAUAAUUCGUUCAAAUCUUAUUUUCAUCAAUUAGAAUUAUUAUCUCAUAUUUAUCUAGUUAUUUAAAGUCUAAUCCUUCAAAAAUCUCAUGUCUUAAUUUAAUUUUUCAAUAAUUUGUUCAAAUCUUAUUUUCAUUAAUAGAAUUAUUAUCCCAUAUUUAUCUAUUUAUUUAAAGUCUAAUCCUUCAAAAAUCUCAUGUCUUAAUUUAAUUUUUCAAUAAUUCGUUCAAAUCUUAUUUUCAUCAAUAGAAUUAUUAUCCCAUAUUUAUCUAGUUAUUUAAAGUCUAAUCCUUCAAAAAUCCCAUGUCUUAAUUUAACUUUUCAAUAAUUUGUUUAAAUCUUAUUUUCAUCAAUUAGAAUUAUUAUCACAUAUUUAUCUAGUUAUUUAAAGUUUAAUCCUUCAAAAAUCCUAUGUCUUAAUUUAAUUUUUCAAUCUUAAAAAUUUUACAAUUCGUUUAAAUCUUAUUUUCAUCAAUUAGAAUUAUUAUCUCAUAUUUAUCUAUUUAAUUAAAGUCUAAUCCUUCAAAAAUCUCAUCUCUUAAUUUAAUUUAUCAAUCCUAAAAAUUCUACAAUUCGUUUAAAUCUUAUUUUCAUCAAUUAAAAUUAUCAUCUCAUAUUUAUCUAUUUAUUUAAAGUCUAAUUCUUCAAAAAUCUCAUGUCUUAAUUUAAUUUUUCAAUCCUAAAAAUUCUAAAAUUCGUUUAAAUCUUAUUUUCAUCAAUUAGAAUUAUAAUCUCAUAUUUAUCUAUUUAUUUAAAGUUUAAUCCUUCAAAAAUCCAACGUCUUAAUUUAAUUUUCAAUUUCAAAAACUUCCACUACUCAUUUUCUAUUCUUUUAAAAUGUUAUUUCCAUUAAUUAGCAUUAUCAUUCCAUAUUUAUUUAUCUAUUCUAAUCGUUAAAGUUUAAUUCUCCAAAACCCAACUUCCAAAUCUAAUUUCCAAAUCUCAAAAGCUCCAUUGUUCAUAUACCGCUGUCUAAUUAUUAUUCUCGUUAUUAAUGUUAUCACAUCCAUUUAUUUAUUCAGUUAUCCAUAUACCUAAGAUCUUCUCUAAAUAAAUUUUCAAGCUUUCAAUCUCUAAAUUUAAAUCUCUCAUCCCUAAAAUUCCAUCUUUCGCAAUUAUUUACCUAAUCUUUAUUAUUUCACCAUCGUUAUUAUUCCAUUCAUUUACUUAUUCACUCAUUCACUUAUCCACUCAUUUAAAAUCCCAAACUCUCCAAUCAUUUUCAAAAUUCCAAUUUCGUUCAAAUUUAAUUUCUAAAAUUCUCGUUCUCACAUUUAAUCUCUGAAAGUCUGAUCUUCAAAUAAACUCUAAAACUCCAAUUUUCCAGUAAUCUUCGAGAUUCCAAUUUUUCAAAUAAAUUUCAAAAAUCUAAUUUUCUCUCAAAUAGUUUUAAUUCUACUCUGGUUUUCAAACGAUCUUAUGCUCCUCUUGAUUUCAAUAAACACAAAUAAAUUUUUCAUAAUUCCAGAAUAAUGGAGUCUGUAACAUUAAGUCAUGCAAAAUAAACGGGCUUUAGUGGGGGCUCAACAUGGGCAACUUUAUGAUUGAUUGAUUGAUUAUUUGAUUUGAUUAUCAUACAUGAUUGAUUUAUCCUACUCUCUAACAUGCAUGAGAUUAUUCCUAAAUUGUGCACUAACCCUCUCUAUUGAUAGCGCAUGGUGGCUCGUUGCCCAGGUAUGUACCUACUUUCCCUCUAAUCGUUGUCUAUACAUGUUCCGAUUCUUAUAUGUGCAUGAUCAUUCAAGAUAUUCAUUGAUUUACUCAUUAAUUGCCACAUCAGACUGUACAUUCCCGAUAAGUAACCUGACCCCCGAGCCCGAUCCGAUUUUUCGUAGAUCACCUUUUCCAAAAUAAGGAGUCACACUUAGGGUUUUCUUUCUUAUUUUGUUUACCCUUUUAAAAUAAAACAAAAAUAAGUGGUGACUUCAAAUCAUUUUUCUUAAUUAAUAAAUUUUUUUUUUUUUUAAAGAUAAAAAUCGAGCUCGCCAUCGAGUGGGAAACGCAUGAGCCGAAAUGCAGGGUCCACACUACCAUUUUUGUAAUCUUAAAAAAAAAAAUUACAUUGAAUGUCAAGUUAGAAACAUAGAUAAGAUUGAGAAAAAGGCAUAAGUUAAAAAAGGAAAAAAAAUCACAAAAUAAAAACCUAAUUUUAUAAAAACAAACUUAAAUUAUUUUUAAAAAUUUCUUAUUUUGUGAUUAUUUUUAUGUGAAUUUGUGGUAACACUUUUUCUUUGGUCCAAAACUGCGGGAAAAAGGUAGCAUCUACCGUGGGUCUGUAAAUUUUGCAUAAAUGAAAUGCUUCCCGAGCCUCCACAAAACACUAAACCUCCAAUGUAAAUCAUAGAAUGAAAUGUGGCCCCAAGGAAAAUUUAACUUGCAUUCCGGGGUCUGCAAAAGUAGCAACACAAUAAAGAGGUAGUUCUUUAUGAAAUAUGGUUGUUAUGUACAAAGAUGGAACACCACAUACAGCGCAUGGGCUAUCUUUCUUAAGUCCCCAACUUCUACUUCAAAUUUCAUGAAGCCUUCCCGCAUUAGGAGCACUAAAAAAUAAAAGUAAAGAUCAAAAUAGAAAAUGAAAACCUUGAAACAACCCACCAGCUUCUUCUCAUUUGAUGUGGGCAUUAGCAGGCCCAGCAAUUCAAUCAUAUCACCCAAACAGUAUUUGAGUAUUCAUUGCAUUGGCCCACUCCACUCUACAAUCACCAUACCUUCUGCUGUUCCACAAAAAAAUUGAAAGACUUAGUAAUGCCCAAAUUCAGGUGAUAGCAGACAUGUAAGCUUUUGAAAGGGAAUUUGAUUAAGGUUGGUUCUCUCAUUUCUCAGCUCUUAGUAAUAGUACGUUUGCCUAAUCACCCAUCUGAAAUUGAACUGAACCAUAUCGAUCGCUGUAGAUUGAUAUCAUUUUAGUGAAGUCCGGGUUCAUACCUUUAAUGUCAUGUGUCAUUCACAAGCAAUUUUGGUGUCAAAGCUGCUGAGGCAGAUUGCAAAUGCCUGGAAAGCAGAGAUUGGAUACCGGUAAUCCAUGGUAAAUAGAUCCUUCCCCACUUUUCCGAACUGGAGGAUGAUCUUCUCAUGUUGCUGGCCUGCAGGUCCAUCCUCUGGAGAAGCCACCAGCUGAAAGUUUUUCACUGAAGCAACUGUCACCCGUCCAUGGAAGUUCAAACACCAGCACUGGAGCUGCUCGUGCCACCUGGGAGCCUUGUUCUUCAACACCAGCGCUCCAUCCUUUUUAUC